rnacentral:rRNA from 1 species
UACAGGAGGGGCAAGCGUUAUUCGGAAUUAUUGGGCGUAAAGGGCGCGUAGGCGGCUUUUCAAGUGACGGGUGAAAUCCCUCGGCUUAACCGAGGAACUGCCUGUCAGACUGGAAGGCUUGAGACCGGGAGAGGUGAGUGGAAUUCCCAGUGUAGCGGUGAAAUGCGUAGAUAUUGGGAGGAACACCAGUGGCGAAGGCGGCUCACUGGACCGGAACUGACGCUGAGGCGCGAAAGCGUGGGGAGCAACAGG